rnacentral:rRNA from 1 species
UACAGAGACUGCAAGCGUUAUUCGGAUUCACUGGGCGUAAAGGGUGCGCAGGCGGUCGGGUGUGUCAGAUGUGAAAUCCCGAGGCUCAACCUCGGAACUGCGUCUGAAACUACUCGACUAGAGUACUGGAGAGGGUAACGGAAUUCACGGUGUAGCAGUGAAAUGCGUAGAUAUCGAGAGGAACACCGGUGGCGAAGGCGGCCAACUGGACAGAUACUGACGCUGAGACACGAAAGCGUGGGUAGCAAACAGG